ACAGAGGCGGCAAGCGUUGUUCGGAAUUACUGAGCGUAAAGCGUGCGCAGGCGGCUCUGUAAGACAGAUGUGAAAUCCCCGGGCUCAACCUGGGAACUGCAUUUGUGACUGCAAGGCUAGAGUGCGACAGAGGGAGGUGGAAUUCCGCGUGUAGCAGUGAAAUGCGUAGAGAUGCGGAGGAACACCGAUGGCGAAGGCAGCCUCCUGGGAUGACACUGACGCUCAUGCACGAAAGCGUGGGGAGCAAACGG
rnacentral:rRNA from 1 species